CAAGUCACUGAUUGAGUCAUUACUCAAAUGAUUAGUAAUUUACUCUAAUGAUUCGUUCAUGAACGAAACACUUCUAGUCUCUCGGAUUUACUCAAAAUAAAAUCUGUUUGACUUUGUUUGCAGAUAUUUUCGUCUGCGAAAGCAUCUAAAAUAGAGAACGACAUGAGCCACACAGCUUUCUUCCCUCAACACUGAGUUUUCUGACCGCAUUGUCAUUGAAUACCUGCUCCUCAUUAUGGAAUUUAAAACCCUGCCAGACCCCAAACCCAAGCAGCCACAUCUUCCACCAAAAUCAGGCUGUUCUCGUGAGCUUUUCAGUGUGGGGAACGGGGGUGGUCGAGGGCUGGUUUCGCUCCAAAGAUGCACGCAGACCAAUCCAACCCAGCUUUGGAAACAGGAUUUAAGCAUUAGCCUCAUCAUUUCAUGAUCAUCUAAGGAAGACCUGCCAUGAAACCGCUGUCAUCUCCUGU